UUUGCAUGUGUAUGAUGGGUCAGGAUGAAAUACGGCGACUUAAAUAAAGAAAAGAGGAGAAUACAAAUGUACAUAUUUUAAGUUGGCAGCAUGCUAUUAGUGAGAGAACCACCGGUACAUCCAGGUAAAAAAACACUUUGCGAGCUUUCCUGGGACCUUGAGAUUUUCUGGGGAUGGGUUAGAGUUGCCGUAAGUGCCUUCCCCUGCCGCCCCUCCCGGCUCCCGCUCCAAGCCACCGACGCGUUCUCCCGCUCCUCUCUUUCACCGGGAAGGCGGGAAGGACCCAUGGAUCUGGGCCGAACCGUUGCAGGCGUGCAGCCGGCUUAGAUCCGGCCGGAUUCAUGCUCUUCUUGCCGGGCAGCGGGAAGGAGCAGACCUUACUAUCCGUGGCCCGCGAGAGGAUGGGGUGGCGGUACAGCGGCGCUUGCUUCCAGGGCUGCCGCUCGCCUCAGCUUGCAGGCCAGCUUACUGCCUCGUCGAGCUGCAGGAGUAAUCCUUGAAUAGUUGCAGCCAAAAGGUAGCAAUACUGUACUUAUACGAAAACCUAGAUUAGUAAAUUGAUUGGAAGUUGACUUGAUUAGAAAGAACAGAGCAGGAUUGUUUGGGGGAAAGUGGAGUGCAACUCUAGUGAUGUAUAAAUGUCAAUAUUUAGGCAGAAAAAGACCAAGAUGUUAAAGUCGACUUGAUCAUACUGUCCUUUUCCACUCUUUGUAUGCAGUGGGAGCAAUAAAAAUGGGAAGGAAUGCUGGCGUAAAUGAAGCCGUCUGCUCAGCAAAAUCAAGGUGAACACUGUAUAUUGUUUUCAUCCAUACACCUUUUGCCCUUUAAAUUAUUUGCAGGUGUGUUGUCAUGUCAUGUAUUUGUGUGCUCCAAAUUCUGCAGAAAUAUUUGAGCUGUGAUUUCAAGAAAAUAAAUAAAGCUAGAGUUCAUCGUAAUUAGCUGUCCAGGAUGUGCCAAGGUAUAAAAUAGCUAGUUAUUGUUACAUAUGGCUGCUCCUGCAACUCAAAACUCUGGAUAAGUACUAGGGGAAUGCAAGUAAGUAUUAUCAGAGAAAGAGAACUGGAGUCCGUUGUGUUGAAGCAAGGAUAUUUGAAAUGUGUAUUUGAUACAAGUAAUGUUAAAUUUUCUUGCCUUCCUGGUAUUUUAUAUAAAAUAUGCAACAUAACUGCAUUGCAGCGUUGAACUGAAGGAUGGAAAAGCUGAUAAUCUGAUGUUGGAAAAACAUCUACAGACAAUGCAGUUUAGAAGGUGUAUUAUUGGAAUGCUCCCUUAAACACUGAC
rnacentral:lncRNA from 1 species